rnacentral:rRNA from 2 species
UGCAAGUCGAACGAGUUCUGAUUAUUGAAAGGUGCUUGCAUCUUGAUUUAAUUUUGAACGAGUGGCGGACGGGUGAGUAACACGUGGGUAACCUGCCCUUAAGUGGGGGAUAACAUUUGGAAACAGAUGCUAAUACCGCAUAAAUCCAAGAACCGCAUGGUUCUUGGCUGAAAGAUGGCGUAAGCUAUCGCUUUUGGAUGGACCCGCGGCGUAUUAGCUAGUUGGUGAGGUAACGGCUCACCAAGGCAAUGAUACGUAGCCGAACUGAGAGGUUGAUCGGCCACAUUGGGACUGAGACACGGCCCAAACUCCUACGGGAGGCAGCAGUAGGGAAUCUUCCACAAUGGACGCAAGUCUGAUGGAGCAACGCCGCGUGAGUGAAGAAGGCUUUCGGGUCGUAAAACUCUGUUGUUGGAGAAGAAUGGUCGGCAGAGUAACUGUUGUCGGCGUGACGGUAUCCAACCAGAAAGCCACGGCUAACUACGUGCCAGCAGCCGCGGUAAUACGUAGGUGGCAAGCGUUAUCCGGAUUUAUUGGGCGUAAAGCGAGCGCAGGCGGUUUUUUAAGUCUGAUGUGAAAGCCCUCGGCUUAACCGAGGAAGUGCAUCGGAAACUGGGAAACUUGAGUGCAGAAGAGGACAGUGGAACUCCAUGUGUAGCGGUGAAAUGCGUAGAUAUAUGGAAGAACACCAGUGGCGAAGGCGGCUGUCUGGUCUGUAACUGACGCUGAGGCUCGAAAGCAUGGGUAGCGAACAGGAUUAGAUACCCUGGUAGUCCAUGCCGUAAACGAUGAAUGCUAGGUGUUGGAGGGUUUCCGCCCUUCAGUGCCGCAGCUAACGCAUUAAGCAUUCCGCCUGGGGAGUACGACCGCAAGGUUGAAACUCAAAGGAAUUGACGGGGGCCCGCACAAGCGGUGGAGCAUGUGGUUUAAUUCGAAGCAACGCGAAGAACCUUACCAGGUCUUGACAUCUUUUGAUCACCUGAGAGAUCAGGUUUCCCCUUCGGGGGCAAAAUGACAGGUGGUGCAUGGUUGUCGUCAGCUCGUGUCGUGAGAUGUUGGGUUAAGUCCCGCAACGAGCGCAACCCUUAUGACUAGUUGCCAGCAUUUAGUUGGGCACUCUAGUAAGACUGCCGGUGACAAACCGGAGGAAGGUGGGGAUGACGUCAAAUCAUCAUGCCCCUUAUGACCUGGGCUACACACGUGCUACAAUGGAUGGUACAACGAGUUGCGAGACCGCGAGGUCAAGCUAAUCUCUUAAAGCCAUUCUCAGUUCGGACUGUAGGCUGCAACUCGCCUACACGAAGUCGGAAUCGCUAGUAAUCGCGGAUCAGCACGCCGCGGUGAAUACGUUCCCGGGCCUUGUACACACCGCCCGUCACACCAUGAGAGUUUGUAACACCCGAAGCCGGUGGCGUAACCCUUUUAGGGAGCGAGCCG